rnacentral:rRNA from 1 species
GGGAUGGACAUACCUCUGGUGUACCAGUUGUUCUGCCAAGAGCACCGCUGGGUAGCUACGUAUGGAUUAGAUAAUCGCUGAAAGCAUCUAAGUGAGAAACUAACCUCGAGAUGAGAUUUCCCAUUCGUCAGAAGUAAGACCCCUGAGAGACGAUCAGGUAGAUAGGCUAGAAGUGGAAGUGUAGUGAUGCAUGGAGCGGACUAGUACUAAUAGGUCGAGGACUUAACCAAG